CUGCAGUUAAAAAGCUCGUAGUCGGAUGUUUCGAGUGUUUUGUGUGAUUUGCAUGAUGUGCCGGAAGGCGCGUUGUUUUGGCAAGUGACCCACUCGAUUGUUGAGGUGGACUCUCGUGUCAGUUAAUUCUGUCUUGCGGGAUGAUGGAAGCCUCUCUUGCACUGUGAAUAAAACGAAGCGCUCCAAGCAGUUUGGAAAGACUGAACGAUAAAGCAUGGGAUGCUGUCAGAAGAUCUUGGGAUGACGAGUUGUCGGUGAAUUGUGAUCCUAGAUAAUGAUUACAGGAGCAGUUGGGGCGAUUGGUAUUGCAGGGGUACCGGUGAAAUGGAGAUCCUUGCAAGACUGACGAAAGCGAAAGCAUUUCGCAAGGAUGUUUUCAAUGAUCAAGAACGAAAGUCAUGGGAUCGAAGAGGAUUAGAUACCCUCGUAGUCAUGACCGUAAACGAUCCUGACUAGGAAUCGGUGCGAUUGCAUAUGUCGUGCCGGCGCCUUAGGGAAACCAAAGUUAUUGAGGUCUGGGGGGAGUAUGGAUGCAAGUCUGAAACUUAAAGGAAUUGACGGAAGGGCACCACCAAGCGUGGAGCUUGCGGCUUAAUUUGACUCAACACGGGAAAACUUACGGGGAUAGGACAAUGGAAGGAUGGACAGGCUGAAGCCCUUUCCAGAUUCUUUGGUUGGUGGUGCAUGGCCGUUCUUGGUUCGUGAAUUGAUUUGUCUGGUUUAUUCCGUUAACGAACGAGACGACGUUUGGAUGAUGCGUUCAUUUUAUGUGGUGAUUCUUGUAAUCUGCCCGACGCUCCUUCCGAGACGUACGCUGCAAGGCGUAGGAAGUGUCGCAAUAACAGGUCUGUGAUGCCCUUAGAUACCCCCGGCCGCACGCGUGCUACAAUGGACACGUCAACAAGUUCCAGCUGUUCUGUGUGGUGUAUUAGUGUUCGCACUCGCCGCGUAUUUUUGAAGGAAUGGCUAAUCUUUGAACCGUGCCCAAGGUUGGGAUCGCGGAGUGCAAUUCUUCCGCGUGAACAAGGAAUGUUUCGUAGACGCGAGUCAUCAACUCGCAUCGAUUACGUCCCUGCCCUUUGUACACACCGCCCGUCGCACCUACCGAUGCUGCUCAUCUUGAAUUCGUGGGAUUGGUCUUGUUUCGGCGAGAUUGAGAACGCGCGUGAAAGCCGUGCAGUAGAUAA
rnacentral:rRNA from 1 species